UUAUAGGCUUAUUCCAGGAGAAAAAUGCCUGACUGCCAUGUGGAUGCUUUCACAGUGAGAUUCUCUAAAAAAGCCCCCAAACUUAUCAGAGGCAAAGAAUAAUGACAUUUCUCUCAGAAUGCUUAUGCCUCAUUCCAAGGUGGAUAAAGCAUUCACGGAGCCAGGAAGACCAGCGAGAAGCAAAGGAAAACCCGGCAGGGAUCGCUUCAGAUCCAAAUGUCUUUGCAGGUGGGGAUCCUUUCAACAUAAGAGCAAUUCAGAUGACUUCAUAGCUCAGGGAGGAUAAAAAGGCAGUUUACUUCUAACAAGGCACUUCAUAAGCUGAAUGGAUACCUCAGUGACAGCUGAAUGAAGGCAUUCUUCCUUCUGCCAUGCCAACAACUCUGAUGUUUGGAGAAAUAUAUAUUUUUAGCAUUCUUCUGUGACAUGUUCACAUUCAGUUUGUCACUUCUGACUUUUAAAGAACCUUGACAGCCCUACAGGAUCAAGGCGAACUCUGUGAAGAAGAUGGAUUCUCUGUAUCCUCUCCCUUUCAGAUUGCUACUUCCCCGGCUUACAACUUGCAUGGAACAG